CUUUAUGAAGCCAACUCUGAACACGCUGGUUAUCUAAAUGAGAAGCAGAGAAAUAAAAGGACAUAGAUGAAAAUCUCUUGUUUUGAACGAAGAUUUUAAAGAACUCAACUUUCCAGCAUCCUCCUCUGUUCUAACCACUUCAGAAAUAUAUGCAGCUGUGAUACUUGUAGAUUUAUAUUUAGCAAAAUGUUAGCAUGUAUGACAAGACAAUGAGAGUAAUUGCUUGACAACAACCUAUGCACCAGGUAUUUAACAUUAACUUUGGAAACAAAAAUGUACAAUUAAGUAAAGUCAACAUAUGCAAAAUACUGUACAUUGUGAACAGAAGUUUAAUUCAUAGUAAUUUCACUCUCUGCAUUGACUUAUGAGAUAAUUAAUGAUUAAACUAUUAAUGAUAAAAAUAAUGCAUUUGUAUUGUUCAUAAUAUCAUGUGCACUUCAAGAAAAUGGAAUGCUACUCUUUUGUGGUUUACGUGUAUUAUUUUCAAUAUCUUAAUACCCUAAUAAAGAGUCCAUAAAA
rnacentral:lncRNA from 1 species